AGACAGCAGCCGCCACGGGAAUACAGAGGGUGCAAGCGUUAAUCGGAAUUACUGGGCGUAAAGCGCGCGUAGGUGGUUUGUUAAGUUGGAUGUGAAAUCCCCGGGCUCAACCUGGGAACUGCAUCCAAAACUGGCAAGCUAGAGUAUGGUAGAGGGUGGUGGAAUUUCCUGUGUAGCGGUGAAAUGCGUAGAUAUAGGAAGGAACACCAGUGGCGAAGGCGACCACCUGGACUGAUACUGACACUGAGGUGCGAAAGCGUGGGGAGCAAACAGGAUUAGAUACCCCCGUAGUCCCUGUCUCUAUACC
rnacentral:rRNA from 1 species